rnacentral:lncRNA from 1 species
UUUAAGAUUCAACUUCAUGUUGUUGUAUUCAUCCCGCUUGAGAACGUUAACAGAAUGGGAGAGAAAAGCAUAAGAUAUAAAACAAACUGCGUUCACAAUUCACAUAGUACUUGCUGAACCACAAUUACCUCAAAAAGUUGUGCAUUUUAAUGCAAGAGACAUGAGAGAAAUCAGAUAGACAUAAGAGAAUAAGAACCAGUGUUAAAGAUGGCAUUACACGGAUUCAGAAGUCUUUGAUAUGGGCGGGCCGUGAGGAAUAUAGCCAGAGGGAGCCUGAGUAUAAGCGCCAUAAGGAGGAUCAUAGCCAGCGUGAGGCUGAGAUGUGUGUGGCAGAUAGAGGUGUAGGUAUGCCUGAUGAUGGCCAUAAGCAGUGUUCCACUGAUGCGGUUGUGCAGGACCGAGUCUUGAGCUUGUGACCAAGUCUGAAAUUGUUAGUUUUCGCACAUUUCAUCCUAUCUGAAGCUAUGUGGAGAGUAACUGAUACAUCUUCUCUCUCAGAAGAACUUGCAGCAGCAUUUGGAUUUAUAAAAUUUUCAAUAAGUGGCUUAAACUGAGAUGGCUUUGGAAAGUUAAAACCACACCAAAACUUAAAUCUUUUUUUUCUUUGUCUGGAUAAAGAAAGGGGGUUACAUGUAUACUUCAGUUGCACAAGCUAUGUGGAGAGUAGCCCAAUUACCACAUCAAUCACUCAAUGAUCCUAAUCUCUGUUUCGAAACCAACAAUAUAGACUGCUAACCUAAAUGAAGAGAGAGAGAGAGAGAGAGAGAAGCCUAAUUAAGUUUUUUACAAGAGUAUUUAUCGCAGAUCAUAAGAAGGGUUCGCAAUCGCUGCAUCGUCUCCGCCUUUGAUUUGAUAUUUCUCUUCCGUUUGCUGCACUUUCGAUCCACUGUUGAUAUUGCGAGAGACAUCGAAGUUAGAUCAAAUGGGUUCUUCUUCUUCUUCUUCGUCGGGACAUUCUCGAUAGCCUCUUUGAGCAAAGUUAGAUCGAAAGAUGAUGAAUCGCCACCAUCGUUGAUCUCAAUCCCUUCUUUUUCGGUUUUCUGCUUUGACUUUGCCAUUACCCUCACGCAGAGAAUCAACUUGCUAGCUUUUUAACCACUUUUAUAGAGAAACACGCCAUCUGUUGUUCUAUUGGGCCACCUUUAGUCAAGUAACAUUGGGCUAACAACAUAGUAAAGCAUUUAUGUUUUUUUGGGAAAUUGAUAUGUAUGACCAUGAAAAAAAUGUAAUUCAUUAGAUAACCAAAUGCCCUAAAUUUUCGAAACACCCAUUCCACUUUAUGUAAUAAUGCUAUUUUGCCUUCAAUGCCAACCGGUGAAACCUGAAAAAAAAAUAAAAAUAAAAAAUCCUAGUUAUUAGAUGUUUCAAAUUACUCGUGGCGUAAUUAUAUUCACAUCUUUCCUUUUAUCUUUAUUUGGUAAAUUUUGAGAAAUUGAUCCACGGUUUUCUCCAUCUCUCCGAACCACGUUUUUCUCCACCUCUUCGAACCACGUUUUCC